rnacentral:rRNA from 1 species
GACGAACGUUGGCGGCGUGCUUAAUAGAUGCCAGUCCACUGAAGCAGUGGUAGCAAUAUCGCUGUGGAGGUGGCGCACGGGUGAGUAACACGUAGGUAAUCUGCCUUCAGGUCUGGCAUAACUCCGGGAAACCGGGGCUAAUAGCAGAUGAUGCAGCGGCUCGACAUCGAGACAGUUGUUAAAGCUAUGGCGCCUGAAGAUGAGCCUGCGUCUGAUUAGCUAGUUGGCGGGGUAACGGCCCACCAAGGCAACGAUCAGUAGCUGGUCUGAGAGGAUGAUCAGCCGCACUGGAGCUGAGACACGGUCCAGACUCCUACGGGAGGCAGCAGUAAGGAAUAUUGCUCAAUGGGAGAAAUCCUGAAGCAGCAACGCCGCGUGAGGGACGAAGGGCUUUUGCUUGUAAACCUCUGUAGUGAGAGAAAAAAAUCCCAAUCUUUGGGACAUGAUGGUAUCUCAAAAGUAAGCCCCGGCUAACUACGUG